CAUUGGAUUACACCAACCCGCCGUCCUAUUAUAUCACAGUUUGGUGGUAGGUCCACUCCGGCCCCGGUGGCUUUUAGCUCUCUUUUCAAGCCCUUGUUUUUUUUUUUUCUUUUCUUUUAUCGUUUUCCUUUUUUUACCUAAGAGUCGCCGAGAGUGAUAGCUCACAAAUGGAGCCUCAAGUCGUGAAAAAGAGAGGCCGUAAGCCCAAGCCUAAAGAUGAGAAAGAUCAGCAGCAGCAGAGUGCUGGCAAAAUGAAGGAAGGAAAGAAGAUUCAGCAGCCUUCUGUCGACGAGAAGUACACUCAAUGGAAGUCUUUGGUUCCAGUUCUCUACGACUGGCUCGCUAACCAUAAUCUCGUUUGGCCCUCUCUUUCUUGCCGGUGGGGU
rnacentral:misc_RNA from 1 species